AGCUUUGCGCAGUGGCAGUAACAUAGCUGAUGAGGUUCAUCCGAGGCGUGUUUAUUGCUAGUUGAAAACUAUACCCAAUACCCCGCCCUGUGGACGUAUAAACC
rnacentral:snRNA from 1 species